UACGUAGGGUGCAAGCGUUAAUCGGAAUUACUGGGCGUAAAGCGUGCGCAGGCGGCUUUGCAAGACAGAUGUGAAAUCCCCGGGCUCAACCUGGGAACUGCAUUUGUGACUGCAUGGCUGGAGUGCAGCAGAGGGGGAUGGAAUUCCGCGUGUAGCAGUGAAAUGCGUAGAUAUGCGGAGGAACACCGAUGGCGAAGGCAAUCCCCUGGGCCUGCACUGACGCUCAUGCACGAAAGCGUGGGGAGCAAACAGG
rnacentral:rRNA from 1 species